GACGAACGCUGGCGGCGUGCUUAACACAUGCAAGUCGAACGGAAAGGCCCUGCUUUUGUGGGGUGCUCGAGUGGCGAACGGGUGAGUAACACGUGAGUAACCUGCCCUUGACUUUGGGAUAACUUCAGGAAACUGGGGCUAAUACCGGAUAGGAGCUCCUGCUGCAUGGUGGGGGUUGGAAAGUUUCGGCGGUUGGGGAUGGACUCGCGGCUUAUCAGCUUGUUGGUGGGGUAGUGGCUUACCAAGGCUUUGACGGGUAGCCGGCCUGAGAGGGUGACCGGCCACAAUGGGACUGGGAUACGGCCCAGACUCCUACGGGAGGCAGCAGUGGAGAAUAUUGCACAAUGGGCGGAAGCCUGAUGCAGCAACGCCGCGUGCAGGAUGACGGCCUUCGGGUUGUAAACCGCUUUCGCCUGUGACGAAGCGUGAGUGACGGUAAUGGGUAAAGAAGCACCGGCUAACUACGUG
rnacentral:rRNA from 1 species